AGUGAACGCUGGCGGCGUGCUUAACACAUGCAAGUCGAACGAGAACGGAAUAUAGCUUGCUAUAUUUGUCAGCUAAGUGGCGCACGGGUGAGUAAUGUAUAGAUAACCUGCCCUUAAGAAAGGAAUAACAGUUGGAAACGACUGCUAAUGCCCUAUAUGCCUUUAAUACAUAAGUAUGAAGGGAAACGCUUUAGUGCUUAAGGAUGGGUCUGUAUGGUAUCAGCUUGUUGGUGAGGUAAUGGCUCACCAAGGCUAUGACGCCUAACUGGUUUGAGAGGAUGAUCAGUCACACUGGAACUGAGACACGGUCCAGACUCCUACGGGAGGCAGCAGUGGGGAAUAUUGCACAAUGGACGAAAGUCUGAUGCAGCAACGCCGCGUGGAGGAUGACACAUUUCGGUGCGUAAACUCCUUUUAUAUAGGAAGAUAAUGACGGUACUAUAUGAAUAAGCACCGGCUAACUCCGUGCCAGCCGCCGCCGUAA
rnacentral:rRNA from 1 species